rnacentral:rRNA from 1 species
UACGUAGGGUGCGAGCGUUGUCCGGAAUUACUGGGCGUAAAGAGUUCGUAGGCGGUUUGUCGCGUCGUCUGUGAAAACCCAUCGCUCAACGAUGGGCCGGCAGGCGAUACGGGCAGACUUGAGUACUGCAGGGGAGACUGGAAUUCCUGGUGUAGCGGUGAAAUGCGCAGAUAUCAGGAGGAACACCAGUGGCGAAGGCGGCUCUCUGGGGUAUUGCUGACGCUGAGGCACGAAAGCCAGGGGAGCGAACGGG